rnacentral:lncRNA from 1 species
UCCAGGAAGAAAAAACAACAUCUGUAGAGAUGCUGAGACAAGAACAAACAUGGCGUGUGCGGGGAGCUUGCAAGUCGUUCAGCAUGACUUAAGUGAAAUGGAAAGUUCUGAGAAGAGUAAGCUGUCGAACUAGAAACAGGAGCUGCACAAGGGAUCCUGAAAUAAAUUUCAUCUUCACACUUGUGUUUAGUUCUGCUCCUUGGCUACCUAGAGAGUAGAAAGUAUGGCAGAGCUGUUUGGCUUUGGUGAUGGUCAGCCCUGGGGAGGAAGAGAAUGAAGAACCAGAAGAAGGUGUUGGCCUCCCACGAGGAAAUUUGGACACAGACAGCUACAGAGGGAAGACCACGUG